rnacentral:rRNA from 1 species
ACCGGCGCACGGGUGAGUAACACGUAUGCAACCUGCCCGUGGCAGGGGGAUAAGCGGGGGAAACCCCGUCUAAUACCGCGUAACGCGGCCUAGGGACAUCCCAAGGCCGCCAAAGGGAGCAAUCCCGGCCACGGAUGGGCAUGCGGCGCAUUAGCUAGUCGGCGGGGUAACGGCCCACCGAGGCGACGAUGCGUAGGGGUUCUGAGAGGAAGGCCCCCCACACUGGUACUGAGACACGGACCAGACUCCUACGGGAGGCAGCAGUGAGGAAUAUUGGUCAAUGGGCGCGAGCCUGAACCAGCCAAGUCGCGUGAGGGAGGACGGCCCUACGGGUUGUAAACCUCUUUUGCCGGGGAGCAACGGGCGUCACGUGUGGCGCCACUGAGAGUACCCGGAGAAAAAGCAUCGGCUAACUCCGUGCCAGCAGCCGCGGUAAUACGGAGGAUGCGAGCGUUAUCCGGAUUUAUUGGGUUUAAAGGGUGCGUAGGCGGAUCGUUAAGUCAGUGGUCAAAUUGAGGGGCUCAACCCCUUCCCGCCAUUGAAACUGGCGAUCUUGAGUGGAAGAGAAGUAUGCGGAAUGCGUGGUGUAGCGGUGAAAUGCAUAGAUAUCACGCAAAACCCCGAUUGCGAAGGCAGCAUGCCGGCUUCCGACUGACGCUUAAGCACGAAAGCGUGGGGAUCGAACAGGAUNANAUACCCUGGUA